ensembl:lncRNA
CUUAGUGGACGUUAUGUGGAUGUUAGAGGUUAGGGGGUUAGAAUUGCUACUCAAGGUGUAAAAAUGGUACCCUUAUGAAACAGAUUACUUUUCUAGCAGCUUAUGACGUUGCACCCGUGCAGCCAGGAUUAUCGCAUGAUAGACUGAAGAGGCUAAACAAAUUCAUCAGACGUUGCUGGACUGCUCACGAAGACCUGUUGGAACCUUUUCUGGUGCUUCCAUUCUCAGCAGACAUGUUGCACCCAGCUAUGAUCGUGGUCUUAGUGUUUAACAUUGUUAUAAUCGUGAUGGAGUGGACUUAUAUUAUGAGCGCGAUAAUGAGAGUGGAUGACGAAUGAAAACUAGGUCCUCUCCACAAUAGCAGCCUAGAAUCAGGCUUUAGAUUGGAUGGGUUAGAUAACUUUACAGAGGAACAUGCAAGCAUUUGAACAACUUCAGCAUAAUUGGAAGUGUGACGGUAUUGCGUUAAGACUGGGCCUUUGAUCUUAAAGCUAAAGUGAUGGAUGCAAAUGGACACUGCAGAAGAAGACCAGACAAUGAAUCAGAAGGAAGGAGGAUGAGUGAAGAAAUGUAGACUGGAGCAUAGCGAGUCAGUUUACUCCCAGUGUUCCAGGGAGGUUCCACAUCUACAAAACCAAAAUGGCGGCCAUUCUGAAUUUAAAAAAAAAAAAAAGAUCUGGCCCUAGUCAUGGAAUAACAAUUAUAGUAACAUUAUUUACAUCACUAUGAAUUUUAGUAAAUGAAAUCCAAACAUGUUCUUUCCUUAUUUCCCCUGAUUUGAAUACAUUUUAUAUCUUAAACAUUUUAAAGGUGCAAUAAGUAGCAUUUUUGCGUUUGACUUCUUUGGAAAGCCAGACAGUCUUUCUCACAUAUAUGGAUAUGCGACUAAGGCAUGUUAAGACUUGACCCCUGUACAACAAGCCAAUCUACAGUUAGGCAAUAUACAAUGUCGUUUUUAUUAUACUUUUUAAACUGAAAUCCUGCUCUAACUGUUGCUCCAGAAAGCAAGAUACACUUGACGUUUCUAUUGUCCAGGGCAGAUAAUCAUCACAACGUGAUAUAGUACAUGUAAUUCAUUCGAAAUGAUCUGGACUAAUGUUUUUAAUCUGCAAACUUCCAUUCUUCAGUUUUAAGAAACUGUUCUGUGAAACUCUGUGAAAGUUCUAACAAUGAGAAUAAACCAAAAGUUUACAAACCCUGCAAUUCUCUGGAUUAGUGUUAUAAUUUGUAGUACUCUACCGAGCAAAUGUUCUAGCUUUACGUCAUGAACUGUCACAUCUAAAUGUGAAAAUGAUUAUCUAUGUAACAGUUGCUUGAUUAGGUUCCUCAGUAAACAAAUACUCUGACUCAUCUUGUUGUGUCUGAAUUACCUCUUUAUCCAAUACUAAUGCCCUGAACAGCCAUUUACAGCUUACAGUUUUACAGCCGGGGUCAGGUAAGGUUGCCAGUGGUAAUUAAAGCUGGAUAAGUAGCACAGAUUUUAUUUGUCUCUGAAAAUGCAUGAAAUUGACAUCCUUAGAUCAAAUGUGUAAAUUGUGAGAGAUUUCAAAUGGUUAUUUU